rnacentral:rRNA from 1 species
GAUGAACGCUGGCGGCGUGCCUAAUACAUGCAAGUCGAGCGAACGGACGAGAAUCUUGCUUCUCUGAUGUUAGCGGCGGACGGGUGAGUAACACGUGGAUAACCUACCUAUAAGACUGGGAUAACUUCGGGAAACCGUAGCUAAUACCGGCUAAUAUUUUGAACCGCAUGGUUCAAAAGUGAAAGACGGUCUUGCUGUCACUUAUAGAUGGAUCCGCGCUGCAUUAGCUAGUUGGUAAGGUAACGGCUUACCAAGGCAACGAUGCAUAGCCGACCUGAGAGGGUGAUCGGCCACACUGGAACUGAGACACGGUACAGACUCCUACGGGAGGCAGCAGUGGGGAAUCUUCCGCAAUGGGCGAAAGCCUGACGGAGCAACGCCGCGUGAGUGAUGAAGGUCUUCGGAUCGUGAAACUCUGUUAUUAGGGAAGAACAUAUGUGUAAGUAACUGUGCACAUCUUGACGGUACCUAAUCAGAAAGCCACGGCUAACUACGUG